GGGUCAGUAGGUUGGUCGUGCCACCGGUACGUACUGGUCUCACUGAUUCCUCCUUCCUGAAGAACCGUAAUGCCAUUAAUUUGGUGUUGCGGGGAAACAGGACUGUUACUUUGAAGAAAUUAGAGUGUUUAAAGCAAGCUAACACUUGAAUACAUUAGCAUGGAAUAAUGAAAUAGGACGAUCGAUCCUAUUUUGUUGGUUUCUAGGAUUGACGUA
rnacentral:rRNA from 1 species